rnacentral:rRNA from 1 species
UCGUAACAAGGUUUCCGUAGGUGAACCUGCGGAAGGAUCAUUACCGAGUUCUCGGGCUUCGGCUCGAAUCUCCCACCCUUUGUGAACAUACCUCUGUUGCUUUGGCGGCUCUUUGCCGCGAGGAGGCCCUCGCGGGCCCCCCCGCGCGCUUUCUGCCAGAGGACCUUCAAACUCCAGUCAGUAAACGUCGACGUCUGAUAAACAAGUUAAUAAACUAAAACUUUCAACAACGGAUCUCUUGGUUCUGGCAUCGAUGAAGAACGCAGCGAAAUGCGAUAAGUAAUGUGAAUUGCAGAAUUCAGUGAAUCAUCGAAUCUUUGAACGCACAUUGCGCCCCCUGGCAUUCCGGGGGGCAUGCCUGUUCGAGCGUCAUUACAACCCUCAAGCUCUGCUUGGUAUUGGGCGCCGUCCUCUCUGCGGACGCGCCUUAAAGACCUCGGCGGUGGCUGUUCAGCCCUCAAGCGUAGUAGAAUACACCUCGCUUUGGAGCGGUUGGCGUCGCCCGCCGGACGAACCUUCUGAACUUUUCUCAAGGUUGACCUCGGAUCAGGUAGGGAUACCCGCUGAACUUAAGCAUAUCAAU